GCCGAGAUAGCUCAGUCGGUAGAGCAUUCCCCUGAAGAGGGAAGGGUCGCCAGUUCGAUCCUGGCUCUCGGCA
rnacentral:tRNA from 1 species